UACAGAGGUCUCAAGCGUUGUUCGGAUUCAUUGGGCGUAAAGGGUGCGUAGGUGGUGCUGUACGUCAGGUGUGAAAUCUCGGGGCUCAACCCCGAAACUGCACUUGAUACUGCAGUGCUCGAGGACUGGAGAGGAGAUUGGAAUUCAUGGUGUAGCAGUGAAAUGCGUAGAUAUCAUGAGGAAGACCAGUGGCGAAGGCGGAUCUCUGGACAGUUCCUGACACUGAGGCACGAAGGCCAGGGGAGCAAACGGG
rnacentral:rRNA from 1 species